rnacentral:misc_RNA from 1 species
GGAAGGAUCAUUCACAUCGCACGAUGCGUUAUCCAGAUGAUGGUCGCGUACUGUUUUGUACAAUGGCUGUGCAGCCUGUUACCCUAGCUCUUGAAAAUUCUUAGCGAUGAAUGUUUGGACUCCCACAUCGUUGAAGGACGCUGCGAACUGCGCUACUCAGUGUGAAUUGCAGAAUUCUGUGAAACACUACACAGCUGAACGUACCCGACACUCGUAGGUUCGCCAAAAAGUGCACUUGCUUCAGCGUGAGAGCAUCGGUGUGCAUCAAACCUGACACCCAAAAGCGGAACCGGACGUUCCAGGAGCUUGUACAUACAUUGCAUCGUCCCAGUCAUUUCUAUCGUCCUGUUCAGAACUUUGUAGUUCCACAACACUGGGUUGCUGGACUGAGGACGUAGUCAACCUGACCAUCUGAAGCCAAGUGAGGUCACCUGCAGAAUUUAAGCAUAUCAGUUAGCAGAGGAGUAGAACUUAACUAAGAUUCCCUAACUAAUGGCGAAUGAACAGGGAUGAGCCUAUUUUGGAAAUCAAGAGUGUGCGUUCUUGAAUUGUAGUCUUACAAAGUGUUGCCAGUGAAAGCGCAUGAGGGAGUCUCUUGAAACAGAGCCGUAAGAAAAGUAAAACACUUCUUCCUCAUAUCGACUCUUACGUACGGCACGCUUCUGAGGAGUCGUGUUUCUUUGAAGUGAAACGCAAAUCUGAAGGUAAAUUUCUUUUCAGGCUUUUCAAUGGUGGGAGAUCGAUAGCACACAAGUACCGUGAGGGAAAAAUGAAAAGAACUUUGUGAAGAGAGUUAAAAUGACCUGAAAUUGCUGAGAAUGAAGCGAAGAGAACUGGUCUGGUCACUUGUGGUUCAUUACAACAUCAGCAACCUGCUAUCUUCGUUGAAGAUAGUGGACUUGCAAAUUGCGUAAUGAAUUUUCAAGUGGCAGUGAACAACAUCGUUUGGUGCAGGGCAAAAUGUGAAGAGAAAGGUGGGUUCGCGUCAACUCAUCCAUAGUUUGAUCGUGUACCGCGCAUGCACUGAGGAAUUCACAGUAUCUGCUGCACUUCCGAGGACUGAUACUGUUAGAUGUUUGUGGACCCGUUCUCUCCGACCCGUCUUGAAACACGGACCAAGGAGUCUACCAAAUGUGCACGUAUGCGCGAAGAUAGUGGUGCAUGCUUUGCAAAAACGACGGUGUCUUAUUGUUGCUGAAUUGACAACCAACCACUUGUGUGUGCAGGGUUUGAGUACAAGCGCGUUUGUUAGGACCCGAAAGAUGGUGAACUAUACUUGAAUACGAUGAAGUCAGAGGAAACUCUGAUGGAGGUCCGUAGCGAUACUGACGUGCAAAUCGUUCGUCCGAUUUGAGUAUAGGGGCGAAAGACUAAUCGAACCAUCUAGUAGCUGGUUCUCUC